rnacentral:ncRNA from 1 species
AAGCGUUCUCAGGGCGGGGUGAAACUCCCCACCGGCGGUGAUGGCGGCGAAAGCUGCACAAGCCCGCGAGCGCCUGGAGCCCGCAAAGGGUUCCGGGGUCAGCAGAUUUCGGUGCGAUUCCGAAGCCGACGGUCACAGUCCGGAUGAAAGAGAGCGCGA